UACGGAGGAUGCAAGCGUUAUCCGGAUUCAUUGGGUUUAAAGGGUGCGUAGGCGGGCUAUUAAGUCAGUGGUGAAAUCCUGCAGCUUAACUGCAGAACUGCCGUUGAUACUGAUAGUCUUGAGUUUGGUUAAGGUAGGCGGAAUGUGUAAUGUAGCGGUGAAAUGCUUAGAUAUUACACAGAACACCGAUUGCGAAGGCAGCUUACUAAUCCAUCAUUGACCCUGAGGCACGAAAGCGUGGGGAUCAAACAGGAUUA
rnacentral:rRNA from 1 species